AGCUUGCUCUUAUGAAGUUAGCGGCGGACGGGUGAGUAACACGUGGGUAACCUGCCCAUAAGACUGGGAUAACUCCGGGAAACCGGGGCUAAUACCGGAUAACAUUUUGAACCGCAUGGUUCGAAAUUGAAAGGCGGCUUCGGCUGUCACUUAUGGAUGGACCCGCGUCGCAUUAGCUAGUUGGUGAGGUAACGGCUCACCAAGGCAACGAUGCGUAGCCGACCUGAGAGGGUGAUCGGCCACACUGGGACUGAGACACGGCCCAGACUCCUACGGGAGGCAGCAGUAGGGAAUCUUCCGCAAUGGACGAAAGUCUGACGGAGCAACGCCGCGUGAGUGAUGAAGGCUUUCGGGUCGUAAAACUCUGUUGUUAGGGAAGAACAAGUGCUAGUUGAAUAAGCUGGCACCUUGACGGUACCUAACCAGAAAGCCACGGCUAACUACGUGCCAGCAGCCGCGGUAAUACGUAGGUGGCAAGCGUUAUCCGGAAUUAUUGGGCGU
rnacentral:rRNA from 1 species